CUGAUCCCAUCCCGAACUCAGUAGUGAAACGAUGCAUCGCCGAUGGUAGUGUGGGGUUUCCCCAUGUGAGAGUAGGUCAUCGUCAAGA
rnacentral:rRNA from 1 species